UACAGAGGUCUCAAGCGUUGUUCGGAUUCAUUGGGCGUAAAGGGCGCGUAGGCGGCGGGGUAAGUCGGGUGUGAAAUCUCAGAGCUCAACUCUGAAACUGCACUCGAUACUGCUCUGCUUGAGGACUGGAGAGGAGACUGGAAUUCACGGUGUAGCAGUGAAAUGCGUAGAUAUCGUGAGGAAGACCAGUGGCGAAGGCGGGUCUCUGGACAGUUCCUGACGCUGAGGCGCGAAAGCGUGGGGAGCAAACAGG
rnacentral:rRNA from 1 species